GAUGAACGCUGGCGGCGUGCCUAAUACAUGCAAGUCGAGCGAACGGACGAGAAGCUUGCUUCUCUGAUGUUAGCGGCGGACGGGUGAGUAACACGUGGAUAACCUACCUAUAAGACUGGGAUAACUUCGGGAAACCGGAGCUAAUACCGGAUAAUAUUUUGAACCGCAUGGUUCAAAAGUGAAAGACGGUCUUGCUGUCACUUAUAGAUGGAUCCGCGCUGCAUUAGCUAGUUGGUAAGGUAACGGCUUACCAAGGCAACGAUGCAUAGCCGACCUGAGAGGGUGAUCGGCCACACUGGAACUGAGACACGGUCCAGACUCCUACGGGAGGCAGCAGUAGGGAAUCUUCCGCAAUGGGCGAAAGCCUGACGGAGCAACGCCGCGUGAGUGAUGAAGGUCUUCGGAUCGUAAAACUCUGUUAUUAGGGAAGAACAGAUGUGUAAGUAACUGUGCACAUCUUGACGGUACCUAAGCAGAAAGCCGCGGCUAACUACGU
rnacentral:rRNA from 1 species